rnacentral:rRNA from 1 species
AGAGUUUGAUCCUGGCUCAGGAUGAACGCUAGCGGCAGGCUUAACACAUGCAAGUCGAGGGGUAAUUCUCCUGCUUCGGCGGGAGGAACGACCGGCGCACGGGUGAGUAACGCGUAUGAAAUUUACCUACAACUGGGGGAUAGCUCCCGGAAACGGGGAUUAAUACCCCAUAAUGUUCAACGGUGGCAUCGCUGUUGAAUUAAAGCUUCGGCGGUUGUAGAUGGUCAUGCGUACCAUUAGCUAGUUGGUGAGGUAAAGGCUCACCAAGGCUGUGAUGGUUAGGGGUCCUGAGAGGGCAUUCCCCCACACUGGUACUGAGACACGGACCAGACUCCUACGGGAGGCAGCAGUGAGGAAUAUUGGUCAAUGGGCGCUAGCCUGAACCAGCCAUGCCGCGUGCAGGAUGACGGCCCUAUGGGUUGUAAACUGCUUUUCUGCAGGAAGAACCUUCCGCAUUCAUGCGGGACUGACUGUACUGCAGGAAUUAGCAUCGGCUAACUUCGUGGCAGCAGCCGCGGUAAUACGGAGGGAUGCAGCGUUAUCCGGAUUCAUUGGGUUUAAAGGGUGCGUAAGCUGUGGAGACAGUCAGUGGUGAAAGCCCGGGGGCUUACUUCCGGAUUGCCAUUGAAACUGGUUCACUUGAGUGUAGUCCAAGACAGCCGAAUGAGUUGUGUAGCCGUUAAAAUGCAUAGAUAUAACUCACAACACCUAAUUGCGAAAGCAGCUGUCUAGGCUACACCUGACGNUGAGGCACGAAAGCGUGGGGAGCGAACAGGAUUAGAUACCGUGGUAGUCCACGCUGUAAACGAUGAUCACUCGUUGUUGGCUACUUAGUAGUCAGUGACUAAGGAAAACCGCUAAGUGAUCCACCUGGGGAGUACGUCGGCACCGAUGAAACUCAAAGGAUUGACGGGGGCCNGCACAAGCGGAGGAACAUGUGGUUUAAUUCGAUGAUACGGGAGGACCCUAACUUGGGCUUAAAUGCAGGUGGCAUUUCCGUGAAAGCGGAAUUUCUUACGGGACCGCCUGCAAGGUGCUGCAUGGUUGUCGUCAGCUCGUGCCGUGAGGUGUCGGGUUAAGUCCCAUAACGAGCGCAACCCUUAUCAUUAGUUGCCAUCACAUCAUGGUGGGGACUCUAGUGAGACUGCCGGUGUAAACCGGAGGAAGGUGGGGAUGACGUCAAAUCAGCACGGCCCUUACGUCCAGGGCUACACACGUGUUACAAUGGCCGGUACAAAGAGCAGCCACCUGGCAACAGGGCGCUAAUCUCUAAAUCCGGUCUCAGUUCGGAUCGAAGUCUGCAAUUCGACUUCGUGAAGAUGGAUUCGCUAGUAAUCGCGCAUCAGCCAUGGCGCGGUGAAUAAGUUCCCGGGCCUUGUACACACCGCCCGUCAAGCCAUGGAAGUCGGGGGUACCUGAAGUCCGUAACC